GUAAAAGUCGUAACAAGGUUUCCGUAGGUGAACCUGCGGAAGGAUCAUUACCGAAUUGUCAAACGGGUUGUUGCUGGUCCUCGAAAGGGGACAUGUGCACGCUCUGUUUACACAUCCACUCACACCUGUGCACCCUCCGUAGUUCUAUGGUCUGGGAGACCUUGUCUUCCUGCCGUGGUUCUACGUCUUUACACACACACUGUAACAAAGUCUUAAGGAAUGUAUGCAGCGUCUAACGCAAUACAAUACAACUUUCAGCAACGGAUCUCUUGGCUCUCGCAUCGAUGAAGAACGCAGCGAAAUGCGAUAAGUAAUGUGAAUUGCAGAAUUCAGUGAAUCAUCGAAUCUUUGAACGCACCUUGCGCCCCUUGGCUAUUCCGAGGGGCAUGCCUGUUUGAGUAUCAUGAACACCUCAACUCUCAUGGUUCGCCGUGAUGAGCUUGGACUCUGGGGGAUUUGCUGGCCUGCGGUCGGCUCCCCUCAAAUGAAUCAGCCUCCCAGUGUUUGGUGGCAUCACGGGUGUGAUAAAUAUCUACGCUCGCGGUUGUCUGCCAGAUAACCUUUGGUGACAAAGGUUUGCUGGAGCUUACAGACGUCUCUCCUCAGCGAGGACAGCUUUUUGGACGUUCGAUCUCAAAUCAGGUAGGACUACCCGCUGAACUUAAGCAUAUCAA
rnacentral:rRNA from 1 species